GAUGAACGCUGACAGAAUGCUUAACACAUGCAAGUCUUUGGCGAAGCUGUGCUUGCACAGCCUAGCCAAGGCGGACGGGUGAGUAACGCGUAAGGAACUUGCCCUGCAGUCAGGGAUAACAGACGGAAACGACUGAUAAGACCUGGUAAAGUCAGGCGGACUCAUGUCCAGCCUGAUGAAAAGAGAUGCUGCAGGAGAGCCUUGCGUCCUAUUAGCUUGUUGGUGGGGUAACGGCCCACCAAGGCGAUGAUAGGUAGCCGGCCUGAGAGGGUGGACGGCCACAGGGGGACUGAGAUACGGCCCUUACUCCUACGGGAGGCAGCAGGGGGGAAUAUUGGACAAUGGGGGCAACCCUGAUCCAGCAAUGCUGUGUGCACGAUGAAGGUUUUCGGAUUGUAAAGUGCUUUCAGCAGGGAAGAAAAAAUGACGGUACCUGCAGAAGAAGCGACGGCUAAAUACGUG
rnacentral:rRNA from 1 species